rnacentral:rRNA from 1 species
UGGGGAAUAUUGCGCAAUGGGGGCAACCCUGACGCAGCAACGCCGCGUGAUUGAAGAAGGCCUUCGGGUUGUAAAGAUCUUUAAUCAGGGACGAAGAAUGACGGUACCUGAAGAAUAAGCUCCGGCUAACUACGUGCCAGCAGCCGCGGUAAUACGUAGGGAGCAAGCGUUAUCCGGAUUUACUGGGUGUAAAGGGCGCGCAGGCGGGCCGGCAAGUUGGGAGUGAAAUCCCGGGGCUUAACCCCGGAACUGCUUUCAAAACUGCUGCUCUUGAGUGAUGGAGAGGCAGGCGGAAUUCCGUGUGUAGCGGUGAAAUGCGUAGAUAUACGGAGGAACACCAGUGGCGAAGGCGGCCUGCUGGACAUUAACUGACGCUGAGGCGCGAAAGCGUGGGGAGCAAACA